rnacentral:rRNA from 1 species
UACAUGCAGUCGAGGGGCAGCACGGUUUUCGGACUGGUGGCGACCGGCGCACGGGUGCGUAACGCGUAUACAAUCUACCCAGUACUGGAGGAUAGCCCGGGGAAACUCGGAUUAAUACUCCAUGGUAUCACAGAUAGGCAUCUUGAAGUGAUUAAAGAUUUAUCGGUAUUGGAUGAGUAUGCGUCUGAUUAGUUAGUUGGUGAGGUAACGGCUCACCAAGACCACGAUCAGUAGGGGCUCUGAGAGGAUGAUCCCCCACACUGGCACUGAGAUACGGGCCAGACUCCUACGGGAGGCAGCAGUAGGGAAUACUGGUCAAUGGGCGAGAGCCUGAACCAGCCAUGCCGCGUGCAGGAUGACGGCCUUCUGGGUUGUAAACUGCUUUUAUAUGGGAAGAAAAAGCUCAUGCGUGAGCAAUUGCCGGUACCAUAUGAAUAAGCACCGGCUAACUCCGUGCCAGCAGCCGCGGUAAUACGGAGGGUGCAAGCGUUGUCCGGAUUUAUUGGGUUUAAAGGGUACGUAGGCGGAUUUUUAAGUCCGUGGUGAAAGCCUACAGCUUAACUGUAGAACUGCCAUGGAUACUGGAAAUCUUGAAUUCAGUUGAGGUAAGCGGAAUUUAUGAUGUAGCGGUGAAAUGCAUAGAUAUCAUAAAGAACACCUAUUGCGAAGGCAGCUUGCUGGACUUGAAUUGACGCUGAGGUACGAAAGCGUGGGGAGCGAACAGGAUUAGAUACCCUGGUAGUCCGCGCCGUAAACGAUGAUUACUCGCUGCUGGCGAUACACUGUCA